rnacentral:lncRNA from 1 species
AGAUGAUCUGCGUUUCAUUCAAUUAAGUCGAUGAUGAAAUCCUUGGCUAAGGUACUCAUAAGUCGAAAAGGAGUUUUCGAUUUAUAUUGACUUAAUAGUGGAAUGAAAGAUACGAUCGAUGAUCGAGAUUGACACAAUUCCAUAUCUCGUAAUUGAUCGGAUCGUAUUGACGAAGGGAUAAUAGUUCCAUGAUAAACGAACGAUUUUGGUUUUGUCAUACAACGUGACAUUUUCCGUCACAUGUAUUGCCCUGACAUAUUGCUAGAUGUCAAUCAGGGACGGCGAAUGUGAAUUGACGAUAAAUUAAAAGGGUGUAUUAAUUUAUCGAUUUUGAUUAGAUCAAAAUAAUAUUUCACGACGUUAGGCAUCGUGGUCGGGGAACCUAAUGGGUCGCACACAAAAGAGAAUUGGAAGACUGCAAAUUGUUAAUUGAUUAAUUUAACAAUCGUUGGAUAAAUUAAUUAAUUGAAUUUCUUAUUUAUAAUCCCGAAUUAAUUAAUUGGAUUAAUUAAUUCACGGACCGGGUUUGAUUAAUUGGAUUAAUUAAAUAUUGGACCGGACCGGGCCGGGUUCGUUUGGGUUUAUAUAUAUAUGCAGCUAGGGUUUGAGGUCCAUUAAGUUAUUUAUUGUUCUUGCUAGCACAAGAAAGAAACCCUAGCAGUUGCUGUUUUCUCUCUGUGUGGAUUUCAUUGGAGGCUGCACAAUUGGACAGCUGUGGGAGGCAGAUUCAAGCUGCUGGAAAGGAAUAACGCGAAAGAGUUUGCAAAUCACACAAAAGGUAUAUUUCUCAUCACAGUUUUUAUCUAAAUACAAAGCUGAAUCCUGAAUAGGAAUUGAAAUUUGUUAAAUUCCGCUGUGCAUGUUUAAAUCAAUUCCAAUACCAGUUCCACCAUACUACAAAAUAAAAUACAAUGGAAAUUCCAUUAGAGAAAUUUACAAGUAAGAUUGGAGGACAUCGAUUUCUUGAGAGAUUAACAUGUUUGGCUAAACAUUAAAAAGAAAAAGAUUCUGUAGUGAAAAUCCAAGAAGUGACUUUUCUUAAAAACCUCAAACAUGUUUGAUGAAGAACGCUUCUUAAUCAUAACUUAUAAGCUUAGCCAAACAUGCAAGGAGGGAGAAAUAAACGUACUUGGGAGAACCAGAACCAAAUGAUGACGUGUUGUGAACGAAUAUAUUUUGGUGGUCAUGAACCAUAAUGAAACCACUCUCUGGUUGCGCAUUUGUCUCCGGUGAACCAUGAAAGCCAGCAACUGAGUUAUUUCCAGGGGAGAUUCCUGAGUGAGCACAUAAUGCAACACCAUGGUCAGGAAAUCAAGGCAGUAAAAUUCAUAAACCAACGUAAUGAACCCCUUUUAAUUAAUCCACUAAAGUUAUAGAGGAAGAAA